rnacentral:misc_RNA from 1 species
AGGCCUUGACAUCCCCCGAACCCCCAGGAGACUGGGGGGUGCCCCUUACGGGGAGCGGGGUGACAGGUGCUGCAUGGCUGUCGUCAGCUCGUGUCGUGAGAUGUUCGGUUAAGUCCGGCAACGAGCGCAACCCUUACCAUCAGUUGCCAGCACUUCGGGUGGGAACUCUGGUGGGACUGCCCAUGAAAGUGGGAGGAAGGUGGGGAUGACGUGCGUCAGUCAA